AUACGGAGGAUGCGAGCGUUAUCCGGAUUUAUUGGGUUUAAAGGGAGGGUAGGUGGGAUAUUAAGUCAGCUGUGAAAGUUUGGGGCUCAACCUUAAAAUUGCAGUUGAUACUGGUUUCCUUGAGUACGGUACAGGUGGGCGGAAUUCGUGGUGUAGCGGUGAAAUGCUUAGAUAUCACGAAGAACUCCGAUCGCGAAGGCAGCUCACCGGGCCGGAACUGACACUGAUGCUCGAAAGUGCGGGUAUCAAACAGGAUUAGAUACCCUGGUAGUCCGCACAGUAAACGAUGAAUACUCGCUGUUUGCGAUACACUGUAAGCGGCCAAGCGAAAGCGUUAAGUAUUCCACCUGGGGAGUACGCCGGCAACGGUGAAACUCAAAGGAAUUGGCGGGG
rnacentral:rRNA from 1 species